GACGAACCGUACGAACGUUAUUCGGAAUCACUGGGCUUAAAGGGUGCGUAGGCGGCGCGACAAGUUGGGUGUGAAAUCCCUCGGCUCAACCGAGGAACUGCGCCCAAAACUGUCGUGCUUGAGGAAGAUAGAGGUGAGCGGAACUUAGGGUGGAGCGGUGAAAUGCGUUGAUAUCCUAAGGAACACCGGUGGCGAAAGC
rnacentral:rRNA from 1 species